rnacentral:rRNA from 1 species
GAUGAACGCUGGCGGCGUGCCUAAUACAUGCAAGUCGAGCGAACAGACGAGGAGCUUGCUCCUCUGACGUUAGCGGCGGACGGGUGAGUAACACGUGGAUAACCUACCUAUAAGACUGGGAUAACUUCGGGAAACCGGAGCUAAUACCGGAUAAUAUAUUGAACCGCAUGGUUCAAUAGUGAAAGACGGUUUUGCUGUAACUUAUAGAUGGAUCCGCGCCGCAUUAGCUAGUUGGUAAGGUAACGGCUUACCAAGGCAACGAUGCGUAGCCGACCUGAGAGGGUGAUCGGCCACACUGGAACUGACACACGGUCCAGACUCCGACGGGAGGCAGCAGUAGGUAAGCUUCCGCAAUGGGCGAAAGCCUGACGGAGCGACGCCGCGUGAGUGAUGAAGGUCUUCGGAUCGUAAAACGCUGUUAUGAGGGAAGGACAAAUGUGUAAGUAACUAUGCACGUCUUGACGGUACCUAAUCAGAAAGCCACGGCUAACUACGU